GACAGAGGAGGCAAGCGUUAUCCGGAAUUAUUGGGCGUAAAGCGUCCGUAGGUGGUUUGGCAAGUCUGGGGUUAAAGCCCGGAGCCUAACUCCGGAUCGGCCCUGGAAACUGCCAGACUAGAGUAAGGUAGGGGUUGCGGGAAUUCCCGGUGUAGCGGUGAAAUGCGUAGAUAUCGGGAAGAACACCAGUGGCGAAAGCGCGCAACUGGGCCAUUACUGACACUGAGGGACGAAAGCUAGGGGAGCAAACCGG
rnacentral:rRNA from 1 species